rnacentral:rRNA from 1 species
GACGAACGCUGGCGGCGUGCCUAAUACAUGCAAGUAGGACGCAGUUGCGAACGGGUGAGUAACGCGUAGGUAACUUCCUAUUAGAGGGGGAUAACUAUUGGAAACGUUAGUUAAUACCGCAUACUAGUUGAUGGACUUGCGUUGUAUUAGCUAGUAGGUAGGGUAAUGGCCUACCUAGGCAACGAUACAUAGCCGACCUGAGAGGGUGAUCGGCCACACUGGGACGGAGACACAGGCCAGACUCCUUCGGGAGGGAGCAGUAGGGAAUCUUCGGCAAUGGGGGGAACCCUGACCGAGCAACGCCGCGGGAGUGAAGAAGGUUUUCGGAUCGUAAAGCUCUGUUGUUAAGGAAGCGGUACUUAACCAGAAAGGAACGGCUAAAUACGUGCCAGCCGCCGCGGUAAUAC